rnacentral:rRNA from 1 species
GACGAACCUUGCUAACGUUAUUCGGAAUUACUGGGCUUAAAGGGUGCGUAGGCGGUGCGGAAAGUCGGGUGUGAAAGCCCCCAGCUCAACUGGGGAAUUGCGCCUGAAACUACCGUGCUCGAGGGAGACAGAGGUGAGCGGAACUCAGGGUGGAGCGGUGAAAUGCGUUGAUAUCCUGAGGAACACCGGUGGCGAAAGCGGCUCACUGGGUCUCUUCUGACGCUGAGGCACGAAAGCCAGGGUAGCGAACGGG